UACGGAGGGUGCAAGCGUUAUCCGGAUUCACUGGGUUUAAAGGGUGCGUAGGUGGGCAGGUAAGUCAGUGGUGAAAUCUCCGGGCUUAACCCGGAACUGCCGUUGAUACUAUUUGUCUUGAAUAUUGUGGAGGUAAGCGGAAUAUGUCAUGUAGCGGUGAAAUGCUUAGAUAUGACAUAGAACACCAAUUGCGAAGGCAGCUUACUACGCAAUGAUUGACACUGAGGCACGAAAGCGUGGGGAUCAAACAGGA
rnacentral:rRNA from 1 species